rnacentral:lncRNA from 1 species
AUCCCUACCACUCUACUGUUGGCCACCACCAUGCUCAGAAAAUCUAAACUUUUUUUUCUACCUCGCUUUCAACUCAACCUCUUUUUUUUUCCUCUUUCUCUACCUUCUGUAUGUAUACCACCAGCCUAAAGAUAUUUAUGUCCUUGAUUAACAAGGCAUUCUUGCUCUCAAGGAUCAACUCACGAGAUAAUCCCGAAGUGAACUUUCUCAUUCAGGCCCUCAUACUAAAACCAACUCUGGAGUACACCGC